CAACCCUCAAGCUCAGCUUGGUGUUGGGACUCGCGGUAACCCGCGUUCCCCAAAUCGAUUGGCGGUCACGUCGAGCUUCCAUAGCGUAGUAAUAAUACACCUCGUUACUGGUAAUCGUCGCGGCCACGCCGUAAAACCCCAACUUCUGAAA
rnacentral:misc_RNA from 1 species